AUAGGAUAGAGUUAUCAUCAUGUCUAACUGCACGUGACAGUAUGUCAUCUCGGGUGACAUAAUCUACAUCAUUUUAUAAACAAAUAAUUAAGUCUGGGAGCCGUUUCAUAAAGCUGUUCGUAUGUUCAGAGUGACUUUACGAGCGACCGGUGAUCCUUUCUUGUGUAAGUGACAUUCACCAUUAAAUGUUUAUUGGUGAUUAUUUAGCGCGUUGGAAAGGUUCACCAGUAAGUUAUUCUUAAAGUUGCUCUUAACUUACGAACAGCAUUAUGAAAGACCCAACAGGCCUAGUUUACCAUGUAAUGUUUAUUAACGCCUUUUCACCUUUAAUCAGAUUUCCAAUACAACUUUUCAAAUAGAAACCAAAAAUGUAAAACGUAAAAUAUAAUAUACACAGAUAAUUGAUAUUUUGGUAUACAAUAUACGAAAAUCGUAGAUAGGUACAAUAUUUAAUUGAAUAUAAUUUAAUCAAUAUAAACGAGGAAUAAUCUGAAUAAAGUUUUUACUUCAGGUCUUCCUAUGUACUACUUGAAACGUCGCCCUCUAUUGUCCAAUAUGACAUGCGUUGGGACCAUGUCAAUCAAAUUUCCAACUACAUACUCCCCUCUUUUUAUGUUUCCCUUUCUACUUUUGUGUUUUUCCAACGUUUUUUUUUAUUUUUAUUGUAAUAUACUUUUGUCAACCAUGUUAUAGUCAUACACCCAUUAAAAUAUCACCAUCCAAUUGGGAAACUCAUUUUCAUUGGCUAUAAUUGAUUUAAAAAGUUCAGUCUGCUGUGAAGUCCUUAUAUCAAGUCAAUCAUUUAGCAUUUUCUUUCACUUACCUUCUUUAAUUCCUUAAUAUUGAUUUUUGUAUCAAAAAAAGUUAGCUUAUAUUCCUAGAAAAUUAAUCGCCGCAAUAUUUAUGGAAAAUUCUUUUUGGAAUGGAGCUGUUGGGAAAUGUUCGCAUAACAUUAUUUGGUUGUUUGUUUUGUUUUGGGUUGCACCGAUGAAUUAUAAAUUAUAAAUGUCGGUACCUCAUUACCUACAGUGAAGUGACGAGGUGACAUAAUCUAAUUAUGAAUUAUGGUGUGAAAGGAGUACUUUCGUGCUUAAGAAUAGCCCUCCCCCUUUUUUAAAAUCAUUUUAACAUUACAUUGAUCAUUUGCUGUGAUAUAAAUUAACUUAACUGUAGUAAGUAUGAUAUAAUUGACUUGACUGAGGUUAAUGUAACAAGACUAGUAAAUGCAUGUAUACUUAAAACUGUGAAAGCUAUAGCCUAUCAAAUGGGCUUCGGGGAUAGCCCACAAUUAGCUCUAAAAAGUUACGAAUACUUUGAACAGUUUUGAAAAAGUAAUUACAACAUUCUUUUUACAUUGAGACAUAAUCUAUCAUGAUAAAAUAAUGAAGGCCUGUGGUGUUUAACUUUCCAUAAAAUUAUGUCAUUGCAAAACAUUUUUAUCGAGUUUAUUGCAUUUUUUUUGUCGGGAAUCAUGACACAACCCCUUUAGACUCUAAUUGGCCAACACGAUUGCUUUCUCCUGUUUCAUAUAUUUUAGAAUAAUAAUCAUGUCUACCAUACCCAGUUAGAAUUUACAAAAACUUGAUCACCCUGGUCCCCAUAAAAAUCUGAUUUCAGAUGCCUUUGUUGAAAAAUGGCGCGUACAGUAGCCUUGUCAACUUACGACAUCAUUCAAUGAUUAACUGCAAUCGAAUCCAACGGAAUCUCAUAUCUCUUGUUCCGCUAAUGUAAAUAAACCAAUUGAAAUAGAUGCUGUGAGAUCGAUAGAUCUAGUUCAGUUGCGCUGCGCUGAUAGCCUCACUCUGGGCUGAGCAGUUCCUCAGGUCUUUGUUAGCCGAAUAAAAAAAACGCUCAUGUGUCUUGGACUUUGGAGAGAGCAAUCAAGGAACUUCCAUGGACUAUAAUCCUGGGACAUCGGCUGACGGUUCACCUGAAACUUUCUUCUUCUUUUUCUUUGCAUCUCUUGCAAAAUUUGCAAUGUUCAGUUGAGAUCCUUUGUCUACGUAUCUUCGCGGAAAAUAACAGGUCUUUUAGAGAAGAUCCUAUUAAGAACUGUUGCGAGAGAAUCAUUAUUCCAGACAUCAAAUUAUCUGUAGUUGGUAUUACUGGUGUUUUCCUGUCACGUCUUGUUCAAUCCACAGUAAAUAUUUGCUGAAAACCCCUGUCGAAAAUUCCCAACUUUUUAGCGACUAACCGAGUAAGAACUCAGUUGCGAGAUUAAAAUCGUCCCCGACACCACAUGAUUGUAUUCUGUUGUUUUGCUGUGUAUGCCUCAUCUCAUUCUCCACCAUGGAUUGGCAGCAAUGUCAUCGACCACGGUCGAUGUCCACACCGUACCCUCAAUUCUGCCCACCUGUCAACGACCCUGCAGAUUUUUCUUUCAAGAUAAUUGUCAUAGGAGACUCUUGCGUCGGCAAAACAAGUUUCAUCAAUAUGUUCUGUGAACAUGUCUUUAAAGAUAAUCACACAGGAACAAUAGGAAUGGAUCUCAACAAAAGGAUCAUUGAUAUUGAUGGGAAGAAAAUCAGAUUGCAUGUUUGGGAUACUGCUGGUCAAGAAAGAUUUCGAACCCUUACUACAGCUUAUUAUCGGGGUGCAACGGGCAUUAUCAUUCUAUACGAUGUAACGAGGGAAAGUUCAUUUGAUAAUGUGACUAAAUGGCUUGACGAUGUUUCACGUAAUGUUUGUUCAGAUACAUGCAAAGUUCUGGUUGGAAAUAAGAGUGACUGCACCCGAGUCGAGAGAGUGCCCAUUAAACGGGCUGUAAAGUUGUCAGAAUCGUUUGACUUCCCUUACAUCGAGGCAAGUGCGAAGACUGGUGAGAACGUUGAAAAGGUGUUUGAGACUAUUACAAGACAGAUGAUAGAGAGGUAUAACAAAAAGAUUAAUACAAAUCGACCUCUUCCACCGCGCCCAACGACAACGGAGAAAAUUGAACUACUUGCCAAGAAAAAGAGCGCGUUUUCUGUGUGUUCUUGUUGAAAAUAUAGAGGAUUAGUGAAAUCUAUAAGUUAUUUAUCGGAACUUUCUGCUGGAAAUAGAAUCCUUAACCGGAAAGAUGACGAAAGGUAAUGAAAGAUGAUGACUUCUCUUUCGAAACGUUAACGUUGACGGUCAGAAUCUGGAACCUCUGUUUUGCCUAUAUACUGUUUGCGAAGACUCAAAGACUUUUCUUAUGGAACACUUGCGCUGGGGGUCGUCAUCUGGACUCUCUGUUUUUUGGAUGUACAAUAUUGAUAUCUUUACGUCUUAAACAACAUUUCAUUAAUAGAAAUCAUUGAUUGCUUAUCAUAUAAACGGGAUCGUUACUUGCCAACCAGUUUUGUUCAAAAGGUUACCCUUCCCGUCAUAACCAAUAACUAAUGUCACCACUAAUGUAUAUCGUUCUGCUAUGGCAUAACCACUUCUUUUAAAGUCAAGAUUGUUUGAGAUAUUCUGAGUUUUAUUUCCCCUUUAAAUUCACGUUUGAAAAUGUAAAUAAAGUCUCUUUAGAAGUAGCACGAGUUGACUAUAUUGUUUUACAACUUGGUUCAGCGUGACUAUUAGACAAUAAUUUCUUUCAAGGAAUUGAUAAAAUUGUUUGCACAGCAUUGCAUUUAAUUCAUUCCCCUUAUAUAUCAGGAAAAACCUAUCAAACUUUUAAAUUGAGUAACAGAUACGUGUAUAUUCAAAGUCCGAUUUUUGUUCUUUUGUUGAUUAUAGGAUGAAUUUCUUCAAACUCUAUAAUUAUGAUUUUAAUUUUUGUUAUUGAAAGUGAUGUGUAUUUAUUGGUUAUGUAGUAAAUACGCAAUAUUGUCUUGUGUAAAUAAUUAUGUAUAUUUUUUCAUACUAAUGUGCAAUAUUUUUUUUCCUGUAUAUAUGUAUAUAGAAAGAGGGAGAGUAAAAAGGAUUUUUAAAAUGUUUCUUUGCAACUUUUGAUAAGAGGAAAAGUUAGGUAAUUGGUAAAGUAAUUUUGUAAUCAAAUUUUACAGAAUUUUGCAGAAUCAUAUGCUGUUUAUGAUUAUUUCUUUGUAUCAUCUGUGAAUGAUUAAAAGUGAAACCAUGAUUUUAAAUUAUUAAGCAAAAUCAAUUAUAUAGAAACUCGAAGCGGCUGUCUAAAAUCUAUAUUUAAAUGAGACACGACGAUUCAAUGUAUAUAAUUCUUCAGUACUCAGAAACACAACGGAAAACCUAUACUCACGUGUUCUCGGUUUGUUUUGAAAUGUGGGUUUUCAAUUCAAACUUAUUAGAUUUUAUAUCAUUUAUUGGUCUGGAACAUAUAACAACUCGAUAGAUAAAUUAAGUGUAUAAUCACUUCGAUCAAACCUCUUCCCAUGCAAAUUGAAUUCAGUAUUCAUAACCAGUGACUCGUUCAUGAUGCACAAACAACUGAACUUUACGAAGCAGAAUGAGAAUCUAAUUAAUAUAUUGGUCGUUGGUCCUUUAAACACUGUUUUCAAUUAAUUUCAAUUAAGGAAUUACAAGUUUUCAUGCUUUCAAUUACGAUAGUACUUAAGCCUAAUUGGUAGGAUCUUCCAACAUACUCCGUAAAAAGUGUCUACACUGAAGAUUUGCUGCCAUUUGGGGCAAUGGGUUUGAAUAAUUGUUGAUAUUUUUUCUGGAGUUACGACAUUUAUGAAUGCAAACUGUGAGACGCCAUUAAAUAAAUAUUUCGUAUGCAACAAACGACUAUAUACAUGUACAUGCAUUUUUUAAGAUAUAGGAGAUCAUACAUGCUUAAGAUUGCAGAGUUUUGUCUAUUAAGAGUGACCUCACCCCUCGAGUUAUACGAUGACCAAAUGGAAUUAUAAAACGACUAGGUUUUAACUGUAGAUACAAGAUCAUCUGAUCCCACAUCUGAAAAAAUCACACCCCUUCCCCCUUAUUACAAUAUUGUCGUUUCUCGUUCAAAGGAAUUAUUUUGCAGCAUUUCAUGUAACUAAUUAGCAGCUAAAUAAAACAUUUCCCAUUGUCAAAGAUCAUGUUACCUUUGUACCUUUAUAUCAAUUUGUAUAUUCUAAUAAUUGUAUUUAUUGUAUUCCACAGUCAUUGAGGCAAAUAAAACUAUAACGCACUUGAAAAAAUAUUAAAACCAAAUGUGUUUAAGAAA